GUCUCCCCUCUGCCAGGUCCCAACAGGAGAUUCUAACCACUCAGGCCAGCCUCUCCCAAGGCUCUGUCUUCCUGUUGCCAUGGAGACACAGACUCAUUCUAUAGCUGAUGGCCCUCUCCUCCAGGACGAAAUAAGCUAGAAUGUGGGGUUGCCUCCAGAAAACUCUGCUGCCACCCUGAUCAGCGAGCCCUGAAGCACCCAUGCAAGACCUGGCGGGUUCCAGAAGGCCCCUGGACACAGCGGACAGUCCAGCCUGCGAGGACCUGCCAGCACCCCUCGGCCCACCAGCGCUGCCCCCGUGGCACACUCCUGCAUAGAUACUGCCUUGUGCUACCCUAAAAACUAUCUGGUGCCCAGGUCACACCUCCUAACAGGGCCCAUCCAGGGCUCUGUACCCAGCUCUCAAAAAUGACAAGAGGCCAAGUCCAGCUCAUCGUGAGUAGGUGUGGAAAGGUCUCUGCAGCCUGUGCACAAGAGCCCUUGGCAACUUCUCUCCUGCAGCUCUGCCCGUGGAGACUCAGUCUCCACCCUGUGAAGUGGAGGGCCUGAGUGAGCACCUCUCUGAAGUCCUUUCGGCUCUGAUGUGCUAAAUUUCUGUAAUUUAAAGAAAAGGACCAGAGGCGGGGACUACUAGGGAGAGGAACUCAUCAAGCACUUUGAAUCCACUGACAUAGGUACAGCUGAGCUCAGUGGGGUUAUCACGCAUCCCUCUUAUCUGUUCACCAAAGCAGGUUCUCCAAGUGUCAUCGGCCAAGGUCACGUGACCCUGAGUCUGUAAGUAGCAAAGCUCUGAGACCCACCGUGUUCACAUGAGUGAGGCGUGGCUGUGCUACCAUCUGCCUGGGCUGCUUCUGGGCUGCAUUCGGGGUUUCCAGGAACAGAAGGAGUCACAGGGAAAAUAUGCAGGACAAAGCUGCAGGCAGUCCCGGGGCCUGUGGGACCCUCCACUCACACCGCCGGCUCUUAGAAGACAAGCCUUGUGGGAAAACCUGCUAUUUCUUUUAGGGGCUCUCUGAGGGACUCGCCCAGGUGGCUAUAAGUUAAGAAGAAGUAAGUAAACCUGGGCCUAAGAAAUCAUGAGUAGAAAUCAAUUUUUACACAAAAAACUUGAAGGGAAAACCUGUCCUUCUCAAGAAUCCAUUCCAAGAGCUGACAGAGUGCACAGCACUGCCUGGUGAAGAAGAGAAUGGCCUUGAAGGGCAAGCCACUGCCCCCUGACCACCCUGUGACCUUGGACCUAGACCCCAGGGCCGGCCCACCACACCCCCAUUUCCGAAUGGGGAUAAGAUGGGAGCAGGGCCGGGGGCAGGCUGGCCACAGCUGACCUUGAGCAGCAUUUUGCUUGAGCGCUAUAAAGGCCUUUGAAAUCCUUCACGGACAUAAACGAGCUAUUAUCUUCA